GAUGAACGCUAGCGGCAGGCUUAAUACAUGCAAGUCGAGGGGUAGCAAGAUUGUAGCAAUACAAUUGUUGACGACCGGCAAACGGGUGCGGAACACGUACACAACCUUCCUACAAGUGGGGAAUAGCCCAGAGAAAUUUGGAUUAAUACCCCGUAACAUAGCGAUGUGGCAUCACAUUGCUAUUAUAGCUUCGGCGCUUGUUGAUGGGUGUGCGGCUGAUUAGAUAGUUGGCGGGGUAACGGCCCACCAAGUCUACGAUCAGUAGCUGAUGUGAGCUCAUGAUCAGCCACACGGGCACUGAGACACGGGCCCGACUCCUACGUGAGGCAGCAGUAAGGAAUAUUGGACAAUGGACGCAAGUCUGAUCCAGCCAUGCCGCGUGAAGGAUUAAGGUCCUCUGGAUUGUAAACUUCUUUUAUAAGGGACGAAAAAAGGUCUUUCUAGAUCGUCUGACGGUACCUUAUGAAUAAGCACCGGCUAACUCCGUGCCAGCCGCCGCAGUAAGAC
rnacentral:rRNA from 1 species